GAUGAACGCUGGCGGCGUGCCUAAUACAUGCAAGUCGAGCGAACAGACGAGGAGCUUGCUCCUCUGACGUUAGCGGCGGACGGGUGAGUAACACGUGGAUAACCUACCUAUAAGACUGGGAUAAAUUCGGGAAACCGGAGCUAAUACCGGAUAAUAUAUUGAACCGCAUGGUUCAAUAGUGAAAGACGGUUUUGCUGUCACUUAUAGAUGGAUCCGCGCCGCAUUAGCUAGUUGGUAAGGUAACGGCUUACCAAGGCAACGAUGCGUAGCCGACCUGAGAGGGUGAUCGGCCACACUGGAACUGAGACACGGUCCAGACUCCUACGGGAGGCAGCAGUAGGGAAUCUUCCGCAAUGGGCGAAAGACUGACGGAGCAACGCCGCGUGAGUGAUGAAGGUCUUCGGAUCGUAAAACUCUGUUAUUAGGGAAGAACAAAUGUGUAAGUAACUAUGCACGUCUUGACGGUACCUAAUCAGAAAGCCACGGCUAACUACGUG
rnacentral:rRNA from 1 species